rnacentral:rRNA from 1 species
CAUCUUUUAUCUUUUAAAAGACCUAGUAAUAGGUAUGCUUUAGGAGGGGCUUGCGCCAUAUCAGUUAGUGGUAGGGUAAUGGCCUACCAAGACGAUGAUGUGUAGCUGGACUGAGAGGUUGAACAGCCACAUUGGGACUGAGACACGGCCCAAACUCCUACGGGAGGCAGCAGUAGGGAAUUUUCGGCAAUGGAGGAAACUCUGACCGAGCAACGCCGCGUGAAGACGAAGUACUUCGGUAUGUAAAGUUCUUUUAUCAAGGAAGAAAAGCAAAUGGCGAACCAUUUGUUUGCCGGUACUUGAUGAAUAAGCCCCGGCUAAUUAUGUGCCAGCAGCCGCGGUAAGACAUAAGGGGCAAGUGUUAUCCGGAAUUAUUGGGCGUAAAGGGUGCGUAGGCGGUCUAGUAAGUCAGUGGUGUAAUGGCAACGCUUAACGUUGUCCGGCUAUUGAAACUGCUAAACUUGAGUUAGAUAGAGGCGAGUGGAAUUCCAUGUGUAGCGGUAAAAUGCGUAAAUAUAUGGAGGAACACCAGAGGCGUAGGCGGCUCGCUGGGUCUUAACUGACGCUGAGGCACGAAAGCGUGGGGAGCAAACAGGAUUAGAUACCCUGGUAGUCCACGCCGUAAACGAUGAGUACUAAGUGUCGGGUUAAACCGGUACUGAAGUUAACACAUUAAGUACUCCGCCUGAGUAGUACGUACGCAAGUAUGAAACUUAAAGGAAUUGACGGGACUCCGCACAAGCGGUGGAUCAUGUUGUUUAAUUCGAAGAUACCCGAAAAACCUUACCAGGUCUUGACAUGUUUUUGCAAAAUGAUAGUAAUAUCGUGGAGGUUACCAGAAACACAGGUGGUGCAUGGUUGUCGUCAGCUCGUGUCGUGAGAUGUUAGGUUAAGUCCUAAAACGAGCGAAACCCUUAUCGUUGCCAGCACGUUAUGGUGGGGACUUUAACGAGACUGCCAAUGAUAAAUUGGAGGAAGGUGAGGAUCACGUCAAAUCAGCAUGCCCCUUAUGACCUGGGCUACAAACGUGAUACAAUGGCUGUUACAAAGGGUAGCUGAAACGCAAGUUCUUGGCCAAUCCCCAAAAACAGUCCCAGUCCGGAUUGAAGUCUGCAACUCGACUUCAUGAAGUUGGAAUCGCUAGUAAUCGCGAAUCAGCAUGUCGC